ACGGGGGGUGCGAGCGUUGUCCGGAAUCACUGGGCGUAAAGGGCGCGUAGGUGGUUUGAUAAGGGUGUGGUGAAAGCCCGGGGCUCAACCCCGGGUCUGCCGUGCCGACUGUUAAACUCGAGGGCUGUAGAGGCAGACGGAAUUCCGGGUGUAGCGGUGGAAUGCGCAGAUAUCAGGAGGAACACCAAUAGCGAAGGCAGCUCGCUGGGACGGUACUGACGCUGAGGCGCGAAAGCGUGGGGAGCGAACAGGA
rnacentral:rRNA from 1 species